AUGCUUGAAACCUUCGUGUUGCAACGAAAUCAGCUAUCCGGUCCAGUACCUCCAACUAUAUUCAAUAUGUCUAGACUACAGGUUCUGGUCCUCACCAAAAACACCUACUUAACAGGACCCAUCCCUGGCAACAAAAGCUUUAAUCUGCCCAUGUUGCUAAAUUUCCGUAUGGGUGGCAACAGUUUUCAAGGUCGUAUUCCAUUAGGACUUGUAUCAUGCAGAUAUCUCAAAGCAAUUACCCUAUCCGACAACUCUUUUGUGGACUUUAUCCCAGCAUGGUUUUCUAAACUGGCACAACUCACUCUCCUUAGUUUAGCUGUAAAUGGCCUUGUUCGUUCAAUUCCGGCUGAGCUCAGUAAUCUCACUUUGCUAAAUGGGCUUGAUCUCUCAAGUUGCAAUCUAAGUGGAAAGAUCCCGGAUGAAUUAGCAGAAAUGGGUCAGCUCACAUAUUUACAUUUGUCAGAUAAUCAAUUAACAGGUUUGUUUCCGGCUUUUGUCGGUAACCUAUCCCGACUGUCUAUGCUAGGAAUACAAUCGAACCAUUUAACUGGAUUAGUCCCGGUAAUUUUCGACAACCUCAGAUCCCUUAAAUUUCUUGACAUUGGAAGCAAUCAUUUCAAAGGGACACUCGAUUUCCUGUCCACUCUCUCCAUCUGUAGACAACUCCAGAACAUCGUCAUAGAAAUGUAUUCUUUCACCGGGAGCAUUCCCGCUUACAUUGGAAAUCUCUCUACAAUGCUAAAUUCCUUUUUUGCAGACUUCAACCGUUUAAUUGGCAUGAUCCCGGCAACAAUAUCAAAUCUAAGUGAUCUUAGUGCAGUAUCUUUUCCUGGCAACCAAUUUGUUGGAUAA
rnacentral:rRNA from 1 species